rnacentral:rRNA from 1 species
AGAGUUUGAUCCUGGCUCAGAUUGAACGCUGGCGGCAUGCCUUACACAUGCAAGUCGAACGGCAGCGCGGGGCAACCUGGCGGCGAGUGGCGAACGGGUGAGUAAUAUAUCGGAACGUGCCCUGGAGUGGGGGAUAACGCAGCGAAAGUUGCGCUAAUACCGCAUACGAUCUAAGGAUGAAAGCAGGGGACCGCAAGGCCUUGUGCUCCUGGAGCGGCCGAUAUCUGAUUAGCUAGUUGGUGGGGUAAAGGCCUACCAAGGCAUCGAUCAGUAGCUGGUCUGGGAGGACGACCAGCCACACUGGAACUGAGACACGGUCCAGACUCCUACGGGAGGCAGCAGUGGGGAAUUUUGGACAAUGGGCGAAAGCCUGUUCCAGCAAUGCCGCGUGAGUGAAGAAGGCCUUCGGGC